UAGGUUUGUCGUGGACGCAAUCACUUGUUUGCUCGGCGGCGGCGCUCCAGACCGUGGUCGCUCCCUCCUCAGAUCCCCUUCUUAGCCCCUAUGCCUGCGGGGAGCAAGCUGCGGCUGGCUGGCCCCCUCCCCACAUCUGCUCGCACCUCCCCGCAUCUUAUCACGGCGCGGCGAAUCCGAUGCGAUCUCCUUGAGCACUUGCGUCCGAGUGUGAAGGAGACAGAUCGCCGCGCGAUAGGAUGGAUGGGAGCCUCCUUGCGCGACUCCAUUCGUCAGAUUCUCCGCCUCCACGCAGGGGAGCACGGAGGCGCAAGCCAUCGAGUGGUGGAGCUUUUCCAUCGCGUCGCCAGCCCCGUCUCCGCGUUUGGUGCUCGCCGCGCCGCCACCCGAGUCUGCCCCGGUGCUUCCUCCUCCAGUCUCCAACCCGGUGCUCCCGUUGCCGCUGCUCUCGGGAUGGCGAAGUGAGCGACGGUCUCCUCGACUGCGCGCCUGGACUGCUCGGGGUCGGAAACAUCGGCCGGGAAGACGAGAACGUCAGGCGCGGCGUGCUCCAGGGCGGCGUUGGCCACGGUCUUGAGCGUCUGCUCCCUCCGCGCAACCAGCGCAAGGCACAGGGCCCUUCCACCUUCCUUUCGCGUACUGACAACGCGACAUAUAGUUGGCCAUGAGAGAAUACUGGAGUUUGUCUAUUUCUAUUCAGAUAUGAGAUGCAAUGUCCAGCGCUGCCGAGGUUGAGGUGUAUGGUUGCCUUCAUCCUCAAACACGAGCUCAAGAGAAUAUCUCUGGUUGCCUUCAUCCUCAAACACGAUGUUUAUGUUUAGAGCAUGGUUUUCUAACUCACACUUCAUCUUCGAGCCAGCAGCCCGUGGGUUGCAAACACCUUCCCCCACAACCAUCUUCCCCACUAAGAGAAGCUUCCUCCCCAGGUCUUUCGUCGCCGCAGCAUCCCUCCCUCGUACAGGACAUUAGGCUCAAAUGGAGGCCUAUGUUGCUCAACCAAUAGAAGAAGGGCAAGAUCCGAAGACUCCUGUUGAAGCUGUAGCUCACGUUCUGCCAAAAUCAACUUUUUUUCUUAAUGGUGUUGUAUUUUAAAACUUGUGGAAUGCUUGUGAUAUUGCAGUCAUAUGUGGAGAUGUUCAUUCAUUUGAAUCAGAUUUUUGUAUGAGCUAAAGAUAUAUGAUAUAAUUAUAUGUGCUAAAAUAUUGCAUACUGUAAA